GCAGAAUGAGCGGUUUUGUUGGAGGGUUUAUAUUUGGCGGGGUUUGUUUUUAGUCAAACUAAAGAAAAUUGAAUGAACGAAAAACAGCAUGAACAUGAAGCCAAAACCUAUCAAGUUAAGUUGUGUUGGUGCUUGUAUUGUAUUUAUUACAUUGAAAAGGACUACAUUGUCUAUAAUAAUGAAUUGCAACCCUUGGACAACAGUUUUUGACUUAAAACUCAUAGAAUUCACAGCUGCAGCAACUGGAAUAAGAAAGAAAUUAGUAGUUUGUGCAGCAACUUGGCUCCUGAAAGGUUCCAGAGUCUAAGAACGUGUUUCCUUUUUGAUAUUUUAUUUUUGUUUGCCAAAACCUUUUGUCUGCAGCAGUUGUGAAUCAUUUUCAUUUUAUUUUUGUGUGGUUCUUCCACUGCAGCUAUAUAAUUCACAAACCAAAUGCCUUUUUGUAAUGAAAGACAUGCACACAUAUUUAAUUUCCGUUUCUGGUAUUUGUCUAAAUUGCACCUUUAUUAUAGUAUUUAUUUUUCUACUUGAACUUGGCUACGUAUAGGUGUCUAAGGAAACAUUAGCUAUUUUACAUUAUAUUUAUUAUUACUUUGACUAAUGUUAUGUUAAUGUACUCGACUGAGUUGUUUAGUUUUCCAAAGUGGAAAUGUUUCUUGCAAUGCAUAUUAUAAAAUGUGCAAUAUUUCAGAAGUUUGCCACUUUAUUAGAAUGUGUACUAUGCCUUCAUUGGCGGUGUACUUGAACCUUGAAUGUUUAUUUAAGUACAUAAAAGCUGGUCAAAUAGCAGUUCACAUAUGGGAACAAAAUAGUUCAUAGAUGUCUGUCUUUUUAACAUUGCAUUUCAAUUUUAUUGAUCUAUCAAAUUCUAAAAACAUAUGUAUGUAAUGUGUGUAACGGUUUUCUUAUUGCCCAAGGUAUUGCAAUAAAACAAAAAAAAUGCACGGGUGCAGUGGCCCAUUUUAUGAUUUGAUUCUUGAUAUCAAGAAAAACACCCAGCUGCUAAUGAUUUUGGAUAGAAAAACGAAAUCAACCUCCAAAAUCUGUCCGUAUGGGAUACCUUAUUCUACUUCAUUUAAUUUGUUUCCUUGAGUAUUGAAGACUCAAACCAAAUUUGGUAUUUCGUUUUUCACAAAGUUUAUAGCACACUUAUUGAGCAAUUUGGGGGUUGGUUUUGAUUUAUUUAUUUUUAUUUUAUUUUUCUUGGUAUAUAUUUUGACUCAAAGUCAAUUCGUUUGAGACAUUUAAACACAAUCCGCUACAUUUUCAAUUAAAUGUAUUGCCUCUCCUUUUCUCUGACAUCUAGAAAGAUGCUGCUGUGUACACUCUCUACAUCAGGAAAGUCAAGAGUAGCCCAGUGGCUUCAUCAGAAAUGGGUGAGGAGCCCUAGUCUAGUUCAAAAAUAUAAAAAUAACUAAAAAAUCUAAUUUACUUUUUAAAUGUUAUGUUGCUAUUAAAUGUUCACAUUUUGAUACAUAUUUGCAAAUCCACAGGUCAAGUUAGUGUGGUGGAAAGUUUAUUGCCAUUUCUGCCUAUUAAUGGAAGACGUUUCAUUUGUUCAAGUAGUUUGUUACUGUGGAAUAAUAAAAAUUAAAAUAUAUUAAGAAUUCUA